rnacentral:rRNA from 1 species
GACGAACGCUGGCGGCGUGCUUAACACAUGCAAGUCGAACGGAAAGGCCCUGCUUUUGUGGGGUGCUCGAGUGGCGAACAGGUGAGUAUCACGUGAGUAAACUGCCCUUGACUUUGGGAUAAAUUCAGGAAAAUGGGGCUCAUACCGGAUAGGAGCUCCUGCUGCACGGUGGGGGUUGGUGAGUUUCGGCGGUUCGGGAUGGACGCGCGGCUUAUCAGCUUGUUGGUGGGGUAGUGGCUUACCAAGGCUUUGACGGGUAGCCGGACUGGGAGGGUGACCGGCCACAUUGGGACUGAGAUACGGGCCAGAGUGCUACGGGAGGCAGCGGUGGGGAACAGUGCACGAUGGGCGGAAGCCGGAUGCAGCAACGCCGCGUGCUGGAUGACGGCCGGCGGGGUGUAAACCGCUUUCGCCUGUGACGAAGCGUGAGUGACGGUAAUGGGUAAAGAAGCACCGGCUAACUACGUG